CGCCUUAUUAUAAAUUCGGAUAAUUUGGAGGUGAUUGAUACUAUGAAUGGUGGAGGACAAUCGACGGAUGCAGCGGCAGCAAUCUUUGAUGACUGUUUUCAUUAUGCUUGUGAUUUCGUUAUUGCUAUAUUUGAGCAUUAUAAUAGGGAAGCAAAUAAAGUAGCUCAUGAGCUUGCUAGAUUAGCUAGAUUUUCUUUGACUUCUGAUUGGUUUGAGGAGCCUUUAAAUGAAAUUGUAAUGAUCCUCACAAAUGAUGUACUACUUACAAAUGAAUAA
rnacentral:rRNA from 1 species